UUUUCUUCCUUCCUUCUUAUGAAGAGGAGCUGGACAAAAAAGAAGAGGUUGGAGAAAAGACUGAAUUAGAGCCAACAUCUGAGCUAUGAAUAUCAUUACAUAUUUCCAGUUCAGAGGGCAGAGAUAUCUAGAAAGGAAGUGGUGCUUAUACACUAGCCUUGACUGACAGACCUUUUGCCUUCUUGAAUCUGAGUAGGUGGGGUCAUAAUGUUAUGGAGCAGAUGACAGAAGAAGGACAGACAAUAAAGAACAGAUGGCCAACUAGAAGCAAGUGCCAGAAUAUUGUUUGGAGUUAAAGACCCUGCUCCUCCUCCUACAUCAGACAGUAGAGGACCAGAUUUGUGGACCUGUCAACUAGAAGAUAGAUCAUUUUCUGAAUACAGAUGAUGUGGAAAGUCAUGACCACACAGAGUGAGCCAAUUCCUCAGGUCACUUGGGACACUCCAUUCUAGGGCUUUGAAGAGGAGUACGAAAAACUUCAGCUGAACUCGGUUUUCAACAGAGAGCCAACUAUAGAGAGCAGGGCAUUGGCAUGAUGUGCUCCUAGCAGCCUGUGCUGUUCAGCAGACAAGCUCCUGUGUUCUGAACCCAAGGUUGUAAGUUGUUGUAAGGUUAGCAGUCUCAUUCCUAGACACAAUGUGUUGUAGUAACCAAGCCUGGAGGUCCUAAAUAGUGGGAGAAUCCCUCCUCCCUUCACACAUGAUUUAGCAAAUGGCUGCUGAUACACAGUUUAAAAUUCUAUCAUAUACUCUGUUGCUUUUUCUCAACUACUGACUUGAUUAUAAAAUUGUUUAUGUAAUUUGACAAGGUGGUGCAAUCAAUAUUUGGACAUUGUCUGCUGCUCAGUCUGCCCUUCUGGCUUCCAGAAAGAUGUAUGGUUACUGUCAGCCUGAUGUACAGGUGUACAAUGUAGAGUCUUACUUCACCCAGCUAAAGGAAAUCUGAUCAUAAUUGGUUUCCAAUCCAGACAUGAAAAUUUGGACAUUAUGCUAGAGCAGAAAGCACCCUUCUCCUAUUACCCACAACUGCAGAAGGUGAUGAAGGAUUAGUCAGAAUGUUGCCAUCUGACUCUACCCCACUGACCUUCCACACCAUGGUUUCACUCAAUCCUGAACUUCCUGAUAGACUUUCCUAUAGUGCUGGGGAAGCUAGACAUUGACCUCAGGGCAGGGAGACCACAGACAGUGAACCAGUGGCAGUUCCUCUUUAGAUUAUAUAUCUAUCAGGGAAUUGUUGCAAAAAUCAGGAUGUAAGGACCAGACGAUAAAACCCUACCUUUCCAGUUUGGAAAAAAAGCGCCUAAUAGAUUAAAAGAACAGCCAUACUUGGUGAGAACAAAUGGUCCAUCUAGCCCAGUAUCCUGUCUUCCGACAGUGGCCAAUGCCAGGUGCUUCAGAGGGAGAACAUGCAAGAGUGUUUACAGAACUUGAGCUAAAUCUAAUUUUAGAAUUUUCUUCCAGCCUGUAACCCUCUGAUUCUAGAGAUUUGUCCAGUAAGGAGGCCCAUCUGCCAUAGAAUAAGACCUGUGCUUACACAAUGAUUUCAUGUUUCCUGGGGCCAUUAGGUUAUCCAGCACCAGAUGAGGUGGGACGGGCACUGAGUGCACAUGCCUGAUAUACACUUACCAAAACAACUGUUGUAUGCCCAACUCACCAAAGGAGAAAGGAAAUGGGGAGGCCAAAAGAAACGCUUUAAAGACGCCCUCAAGAUAAACAUCAAGAGACGUGGCGUCGACACCACAUACUGGGAGACAGCAGCCCAGGAUAAGGAUAAGUGGCUAAGACUUGUCAGAGAAGGAACAUCUGCUUUUGAGGAAAAUUGCCUUGCCCUAGUCACAGAAAAACACCACAAAAGAAAGGAAAGACAACUGUCAUGCAGCAAUCAUGGCCUAACGCUGUCUUCUAACACCACCUGCAACGUCUGCCAAUGAGCCUGUGGCUCAAGAAUUGGGCUCCUCAGUCACCAAAGGACCCAUGGAAAAUAAAAUCUGUGAAAGAGAUCAUCCUUGACCCUGAGGGAUCGCCGACAAGGUUGUCAUGUGAGCCAAUUGUUUUGUAACCUAGGGGAGCCCCAGCUACAAUGCUACCAACUAGCUUGGUGUGUGUUUAUACAAGGUAGACAAGGUGGAUGAGGUAAUGUUUUAUUGUACCAACUUCUGUUGGUGAAAGACAAGCUUCUGAGCUUACACAGAACUCUUCUUUAUGUCUGGGUGCUUGUUGAACUGGGUGUUAAAUAGUGUUUCAAGUCAUGUUAGCUAACUCCGUUUUUAAAAUCUUUUCUCCUAGUCCAGGACACUAGAAGGCUUUAUUUACUGAAGCCCCAAAUCAACUCUUGGUUCAAGGGAUACUUGGUCUUCACCUGAUCUUACCUUAAAAUAAUGCUACUUAAGUUUUCUAAUAUUCUCAACAGUUGACAAGAAGGGGUGAAUACCAAGGGAGGAAAUAUUACUUUUGUAGUGCUAACGAGGCCAAUGCAAUCAAGGUGGCCCAUUUCCAAAAGUUGACAAGAAGGUGUGAGU